UACGAGGAGGCCCAAACGUUAUUCGGAUUACUGGGCUUAAAGGAGUUCGUAGGCGGUGCAGAUAGUGGGGUGUGAAAGCCCUCGGCUCAACCGAGGAAUUGCGCUCCAAACUCCUGUACUCGAGGAAGCUAGAGGUGAGCAGAACUGAUGGUGGAGCGGUGAAAUGCGUUGAUAUCAUCAGGAAUACCGGAGGCGAAGGCGGCU
rnacentral:rRNA from 1 species